AGUGAACGCUGGCGGUAGGCCUAACACAUGCAAGUCGAACGGCAGCACAGUAAGAGCUUGCUCUUACGGGUGGCGAGUGGCGGACGGGUGAGGAAUACAUCGGAAUCUACUUUUUCGUGGGGGAUAACGUAGGGAAACUUACGCUAAUACCGCAUACGACCUACGGGUGAAAGCAGGGGGUCUUCGGACCUUGCGCGAUUGAAUGAGCCGAUGUCGGAUUAGCUAGUUGGCGGGGUAAAGGCCCACCAAGGCGACGAUCCGUAGCUGGUCUGAGAGGAUGAUCAGCCACACUGGAACUGAGACACGGUCCAGACUCCUACGGGAGGCAGCAGUGGGGAAUAUUGGACAAUGGGCGCAAGCCUGAUCCAGCCAUACCGCGUGGGUGAAGAAGGCCUUCGGGUUGUAAGGCCCUUUUGUUGGGAAAGAAAAGCAGCAGGUUAAUACCCCGCUGUUCUGACGGUACCCAAAGAAUAAGCACCGGCUAACUUCGUG
rnacentral:rRNA from 1 species